rnacentral:lncRNA from 1 species
GCCAGAGCUCUACCACAAAGCCACAUGCCCAGCCUCUCAAACCGGCAGGUUUUCUACCAGGGAGCCAUCCCCAGCCUCUCACAGAGGGAUUGCAGGCACGAAAAGAAGGUCAGGAACAAACUCCAGAACAGAGAUGGCACCCUUCCCCGAGCCCCUUGAGGAGUAAAAGCUGGAAGAUUUUUCUCACCCCCAGGAGGGAAGAUGGAUUUACCCAGCACCUCCUCAAACCUCCUUCUCUGCCUCCCCAUAUGAUCUACUGAAUAAAUCCAAGUGACAGCUGGCAGGGGCCGCCUCAACAGCACAUGAAAAGCAGGCUGCAGCCCCUCGGGGAGCGAGGGGCCAGCCCUCUCUUCUCCUAGUCAGGAGCUUCCCUGAGGCUUCCUGGAUGCUUCCAACCACUGUGCUGCAGUCCUGGCCAUCU